rnacentral:rRNA from 1 species
UACGUAGGGUGCGAGCGUUAAUCGGAAUUACUGGGCGUAAAGCGUGCGCAGGCGGUUCGUUGUGUCUGAUGUGAAAGCCCCGGGCUUAACCUGGGAAUGGCAUUGGAAACUGGCGAGCUGGAGUGUGGCAGAGGGGGGUGGAAUUCCGCGUGUAGCAGUGAAAUGCGUAGAGAUGCGGAGGAACACCGAUGGCGAAGGCAGCCCCCUGGGCCAACACUGACGCUGAGGAGCGAAAGCGUGGGGAGCAAACAGG